GCCAGGCAUGAUGGCUCAUGCCUGUAAUCCCAACACUUUGGGAGGCUGAGGUGGGUGGAUCACUUGAGGUCAGGAGUUCAAGACUAGCCUGACCAAAAUGGUGAAACCCCAUCUCUA
rnacentral:SRP_RNA from 1 species